CUUUACAAUCAAAUUUAACUAGAUCAAUGUGUGUACACAGGAAAAACAGAACUCUCUUGAGAAGCUCAAAGCACAUACAACCAUUAUCUUAUCUGUCUUGCUAAUGUUCAUAAGUGCAAUGUGACAACUUCUCAUCCUGGAAACUGACACUGAAAAUAUUAACUUCCUUUCUCCAGUGAGAUAAUGGUAGAUGAUGAACAGAUGGACUGUAUGGACGUGGAUAAUGAAAGGAUGGUAUAUAAAGCAAUGAGGCUGUUCAACAAGGGAACAGAGUGGACAUCUGCGGACUGGAGGCUGGUACCCUCAGCAUUUAGAGGUCAAAAAGGAAACUGAGACACAUUAAUUCAACUUGACACAAUAAAUCAAGAUCAUCUCAUGCUGAACAGAAUCAAGAUUACAG